UGUCAUUGGCUCAAAUCAAAGUGCAAAAAGAAAUUGACCAGGCCAAGGUUGAAGAAGACCUACAGAGCAAUGGAGCACGGUGAUGGGUGAGCUUGUCACACCCAUAUUUUAAGAACAAAAUAGGAUGCAUAAAAGACUCAUAUGUGCUCCAGAAACAGUCACACACAUAAGUAGACAAAUCUCAAAUGUACCAUUGCAGUGUUUAUUACAUAGCGGAACAAUAAUAAAUCACAUAGUCUUAUACAAUAAUGAUAUUAAGAUAAAACAAUGCUCUCGACGGAAGCACCACACAGGGACACCGUUGACUGGUUGACUCCAAGCCUAAUACUCAUAACUGUAAUCCUCAUUCCAAGCAUCAUCAUUUGCAUAACCUAGGGUGUUGGGAAAUUGCAAGAGUGAGCACAUAUCGUAGUCAACAAGUAUAACCAGGGGUUCAUGAGGCUCAAAUAGCUGACACUGGUUUGACUGCAUUUAGCUUUUAAUAGUGGAUAGCAUGUUCAUAAAUAGAUAGCAAAUGUCAAGGUAGCAUUAAUAAUCCAUUAAUCACAUGAUCAAGUGUAAGCAUAAUUAAUUCAUAGCAUAAAUGAUAAUCCAAUGAAUAUAACAACUUAACAAGCUCAUCAUCGUUGGUGUAAGAACCCCCAAGGCCGCUCUUAACCGUGAGCACGGCUAGUAUACCAGUUUUUAACACUCUGCAGAGGUUGUACAUCUUUACCCAUGAGUCAUGAUUUACCCUUUCGCCCGAGGUAGCUAGUCUCUUAAGCCCCUUCCUAGGGAGGUCGGCAGGGAUCAUUAUGAAGCCUUUCAAAAGUUCGUCUAACAUGUUAGAGCCGCAAGGUUUCCCAGCGUGCAUAUAUAGAGCCCCCGUUCCAAUGGCACAAUGACUCACAGCCUAUACACAUAAAGACAGAGGCCACACUAUACCCAAAAUAGUUAGACCCCUCAAGUGUCCUUUCGGGUAACCGCUAACAAGCUAGAAAAGGUCUUCAUACUGAGCUAAAGCCAGAGCCAUUAUAGCCCUCAUGGUUGCACUGUUGUCCCGGUGAUCACUUACAGAUAACAUCUCAUAUAGUUAUUUGUCAUCUUUUAACGUUCAUUGCAUAGCUAUUAAUCAUCUUACAAGAUCAUGGAUUAUAUCAAGCACUAGCACAUCUACACCAAAUGCAUAUCAAGUAGGUUGCAAGGAAUCCAGGUAACAAUCAUCUAUGAUUUUGCUAAGGUCGACAAGGUGAAAGCAUGCAUAUGAUAUAUAUGUGUAUUUAUAAGUGAAUAGAUAACAAGGAUGAUCCCAAGUUAUACUUGCCUUGAUCAAAGCUCUUCUGAGCCUACUGCUGGCCUUCAAAAGAUUGAUCUCGAUCACCAACGUAUCUCUCAACGUCUAUACUCGAUCAUCAAUCAACAACACACAAUCCAAUGUAGACAAUCAUACACGAUGCAAACAAGCUAUAAUUAGAACAAUACACCACAAUGGUAAAACAAAUAUAAAAGUUUAUCAAAAUAUUCUACGCAGCGCUACGAUCACACAAACGUAAAGUUCACGAAAAUCGGAAUUAAAACCUAGAAGUUAUGAAUUUUCUAAGAUUUCCUAUAGAUAAAUAAUUAAUUAAAUGCCACUGCAAAAAUAAAAAGUUUCAAAACAGAGAAAUAAUACUUCUAACAUGUAGAGCUCGUGAAUACGAAUCUAACGAAAUUUGAAUGGAUCAAAUCGGAGUCAAAAUGAGUAUUUUAUAAGCAGUUUCAGUGGCAAACUUGUAAAUCUUGAAAACGUAUUUGUGAAACAACCCUACGUGAAAUACGCUUUCAAAGUCAGAAAAUAUAAGCAGGAAGGUGUGUUGGACUGCGGGUUCUAUUUGAGAAAAACCGAGGGUCUCUUUAACAAUUUGUGCACGCGAAGGGGUAUUCUCGUUUCCUGGUCGUCGAUCUUCAAACGGACGGCCGAGAUCAGGCCAGAGAGAGGCGGGCAGCGGCCGGCCACAGGGGUUGGCCUCCGGCGUGGUGGCGCCAUGGCCGGAGGGCCCGAGCUCGACGGAGCUCGUGGUCCGGCCAACUCCGAGCACCUUUCUUUGAACAGAAAACGCCGGGAGGUCGAGAAGCUCACCGCGGAGUCGUCUAGGGUCGUUGCUCGGGCCGAGAGGGGACUGGGAACUCGCGCCGCGGUGGGGGAUGGAUGCGGCCUCGGCGGAUUCCACACCUCGGCGAGCUAAGCUUCUAGGGCUCCGUUUUUGCGGCGCAGAUGGGAAAGGAGCCACACGGAGUCGAUCUAGGGACUUUAUAGGGGCUCGGGGAAGGCAAAUCCCUCCUAAAUCGGGAUUGGGGAGGAUUCGGUGGCGUGGAUCUCGCGUCCUGUUCGAACUCGGCUGGGGGAAGAAGGAAAGGGGCGCUGACGCGCGGGUCCCGCGUCGCAGUGAGAGAAGGGACGGGGCCCAGCUGUCAGUCGGCGAAAGGAAGAAGGGUGAGGGCACGCGUGUUCGGCCGGGAGAGGGAUUGGGCCGCGUGAGGGGGGGAAACAGGCCAAGGGGGGGGCUGGCUGGGCCGCCUGUUGCGGCAGCGCUGGCUUGCCCCUUUUCUUUUUUUCUUUUCUUUUCCAAAACAUUUUCCAAUUAGAAGUUUGUGCAAAAACAAAUAAAAUAAAAUAAAAAACAACAGCACAAAAAAAUACUAUGCUCACAAUGAAUGCAAAAACAUGUUUCUACCCUUAUGAUGAAUUUUAAAUUUCCACAAAAUUAUUUAUUUGCUAGAUUAAAUGCCCACCAAAAAUGCUUAAUUAAAUCAAAUUAAAUCCUAUUAAAUAAAAAUCAGGUUUUGGGUGUUACAGACCUCCAGAGAGCUACAGAGGGCAGGCUAUACCUGCUGCCAAUGCCACCGAAACCCUACAAAGCCGCCUUCACCCACUGGCGCCGCCAAAACCAGCCGGAGCCUUAGCUGCAACCCGCUGGAGCCGCCGCAACAGACCAAAUCCGCCGCAACCCGCUGGAGCCGCCACAACCAACCGCCACCGCAGCUGCACCACGCUGGCCUCACUGGAGCCGCAGCUGCAACACCGCUGGAGCCGCCACAACCCGCCGGUGCCACUGCUGCAACACGCUACCCCGGUCGCAACGCGCUGGAGCCGCAACAACGCGCCGAAGCCGCCGCUGCAACCCGCCGGAGCCGCCGCUGCAACCCGCUGGCGCCGCAGCCGCCUCCCAGAUUUAAUUUGGAUCUUGGAAAAGUUCUGAUUUUGGAAAGGGGAGUGAAUGUGUGAUUUUAGCUUUAGAAAUGAUUAUAGUAUAAAAAAUUAAUAUGCGUUACCUUAUCAAAUGCCCUAAGUGUUGCAGUGGUAAUGUCCUUUGUUUGCUAUCAGCUGAUCGUGGGUUAGAUUCCUGGGUCAGGCGCAUUUUUUUGCCACCCUUUUUCAGC
rnacentral:lncRNA from 1 species